rnacentral:lncRNA from 1 species
GUAAGGUCUGUGCGGAGACCUCCCUGCAACACCCUCGCUGGCGAUUUCGAAUUGAACAAAAUCACCUAUUGAAAAUUGGUUUCUCCUUUCGAUGAUGUGUUCCACGUUUAACCUAUUCGAAUUCUGUUUUUCCUUCUUCCACUGGUGGAUUGAUAUCUGAGUGAAUUUCUUUUUGACGACCACUAAUCCAGAGAAAAACUAACAGUGGUUGCUUCAUUUUCUUCCUUCAGAAGCUAUUAAAUUAAGAGAUUAUCACUCAACAGAAGGCGAGAUGUCUCCGACCCUCUGUGCAGCGUGGAGACCAUGACGCACCUCCGCGCCUCCGCGCGGCGCGGAGGCCACCUCCUUGCUAUACCCUCACUGGCGAUUUUGAAUUGAACAAAAUCACCUAUUGAAAAUUGGUUUCUCCUUUCGAUUGUGUGUUCCACAUUUAACCUAUUCGAAUUCUGUUUCUCUUUCCUCCACUAGUAGAUCGGCGAUUUAAUAUCUAAGUGAAUUUCUUUUUGACGACCAAUAAUCCAGAGAAAAGCUAACAGUGGCUGCUUCAUUUUCUUCCUUCAAAAGCUAUUUAAUUAAGAGAUUAUCACACAACAGAAGGCGAGAUGCAUAGACUGAAAACUUACUCAGAUUUUAUUUGAGGCAUCCUUAAAUUAAAGGUAAUUUUUUUCCUUUGAAUUUAUGUUUCUUCAAAUUGAGCAUAAAUCUUGGUUUCAUGAUGGCUUCAAUGAGGUUUUUUAUGAUGAUUUUGCAUAUUUACAGAAUCUUAUCAUUCUAUCAAAAUUAUUGGCUAAAUUUAAAAGCAACAUAAAUGGUACAUAUUCUAAGG